rnacentral:rRNA from 1 species
AAAUUGAAGAGUUUGAUCAUGGCUCAGAUUGAACGCUGGCGGCAGGCCUAACACAUGCAAGUCGAACGGUAACAGGAAGCAGCUUGCUGCUUCGCUGACGAGUGGCGGACGGGUGAGUAAUGUCUGGGAAACUGCCUGAUGGAGGGGGAUAACUACUGGAAACGGUGGCUAAUACCGCAUAACGUCGCAAGACCAAAGAGGGGGACCUUCGGGCCUCUUGCCAUCAGAUGUGCCCAGAUGGGAUUAGCUUGUUGGUGAGGUAACGGCUCACCAAGGCGACGAUCCCUAGCUGGUCUGAGAGGAUGACCAGCCACACUGGAACUGAGACACGGUCCAGACUCCUACGGGAGGCAGCAGUGGGGAAUAUUGCACAAUGGGCGCAAGCCUGAUGCAGCCAUGCCGCGUGUAUGAAGAAGGCCUUCGGGUUGUAAAGUACUUUCAGCGGGGAGGAAGGUGUUGUGGUUAAUAACCGCAGCAAUUGACGUUACCCGCAGAAGAAGCACCGGCUAACUCCGUGCCAGCAGCCGCGGUAAUACGGAGGGUGCAAGCGUUAAUCGGAAUUACUGGGCGUAAAGCGCACGCAGGCGGUCUGUCAAGUCGGAUGUGAAAUCCCCGGGCUCAACCUGGGAACUGCAUUCGAAACUGGCAGGCUUGAGUCUUGUAGAGGGGGGUAGAAUUCCAGGUGUAGCGGUGAAAUGCGUAGAGAUCUGGAGGAAUACCGGUGGCGAAGGCGGCCCCCUGGACAAAGACUGACGCUCAGGUGCGAAAGCGUGGGGAGCAAACAGGAUUAGAUACCCUGGUAGUCCACGCCGUAAACGAUGUCUACUUGGAGGUUGUGCCCUUGAGGCGUGGCUUCCGGAGCUAACGCGUUAAGUAGACCGCCUGGGGAGUACGGCCGCAAGGUUAAAACUCAAAUGAAUUGACGGGGGCCCGCACAAGCGGUGGAGCAUGUGGUUUAAUUCGAUGCAACGCGAAGAACCUUACCUGGUCUUGACAUCCACAGAACUUUCCAGAGAUGGAUUGGUGCCUUCGGGAACUGUGAGACAGGUGCUGCAUGGCUGUCGUCAGCUCGUGUUGUGAAAUGUUGGGUUAAGUCCCGCAACGAGCGCAACCCUUAUCCUUUGUUGCCAGCGGUUAGGCCGGGAACUCAAAGGAGACUGCCAGUGAUAAACUGGAGGAAGGUGGGGAUGACGUCAAGUCAUCAUGGCCCUUACGACCAGGGCUACACACGUGCUACAAUGGCGCAUACAAAGAGAAGCGACCUCGCGAGAGCAAGCGGACCUCAUAAAGUGCGUCGUAGUCCGGAUUUCUGCAACUCGACUCCAUGAAGUCGGAAUCGCUAGUAAUCGUGGAUCAGAAUGCCACGGUGAAUACGUUCCCGGGCCUUGUACACACCGCCCGUCACACCAUGGGAGUGGGUUGCAAAAGAAGUAGGUAGCUUAACCUUCGGGAGGGCGCUUACCACUUUGUGAUUCAUGACUGGGGUGAAGUCGUAACAAGGUAACCGUGAUCACCUCCUUACCUUAAAGAAGC